rnacentral:rRNA from 1 species
UACAGGGGGGGCAAGCGUUGUUCGGAAUUACUGGGCGUAAAGGGCUAGUAGGCGGCCGGCUAAGUCCGACGUGAAAUCCCCAGGCUUAACCUGGGAACUGCGUCGGAUACUGGCGGGCUUGAAUCCGGGAGAGGGAUGCGGAAUUCCAGGAGUAGCGGUGAAAUGCGUAGAUAUCUGGAGGAACACCGGUGGCGAAGGCGGCAUCCUGGACCGGCAUUGACGCUGAUCAGCGAAAGCCAGGGGAGCAAACGGG